GUAUGGUAUAUAACGAUAACACCAGUGCCAGUGAAAACAGCAGUAGGCCUACGUGUCAACCUUCUUUUGUUUGUUCAACUCCUGUGGGAAAAACUGGAAUAUCUGGUGGCCAUUGGUGAGGACACAGAAACCGGAAGGAUGAUGACAAGGGCCUUGAUUUCCGAAAUCAUGGUGCCAGAAGUACAACUGAAGGUCAAUUUGAUGUACGGUAAUCGUGUGCCUGGCCAAGAAUACCGUGAUCGGCUAUCACUGAAAGACGACCUCCCGAACCUACAUGAAAGGUUGUUAAAAGCUGUAAAACGAGUUCAUCCAAAUCAAGUGGAUAAAGUAAUUAAUCACGAUCUUUCGGACUACUUGCGCUCAGCAGCGAAGCGGGUUAAAUGAUGUUGGGCUGAUUGCUCAUUGUGCAGAGAGAUAUGAGAACUCACUAUUAAAGCCUCACAAUGCGCAUCCAAACGCUGAAAUUUCUCUAGUACUAGACUAGCAACUA